UACGAAGGGGGCGAGCGUUGUUCGGAAUCACUGGGCGUAAAGGGCGCGUAGGCGGGUGACCAAGUCCGGGGUGAAAUCCUCCAGCUCAACUGGAGAACAGCCUUGGAUACUGGUCGCCUCGAGGGAGGUAGGGGCGGGCGGAACUUCCGGUGGAGCGGUGAAAUGCGUAGAUAUCGGAAGGAACGCCGGUGGCGAAAGCGGCCCGCUGGACCUCUUCUGACGGCUGAGGCGCGAAAGCCAGGGGAGCAAACGGG
rnacentral:rRNA from 1 species